GUGGGGAAUCUUCCGCAAUGGACGAAAGUCUGACGGAGCAACGCCGCGUGAGUGAUGAAGGUCUUCGGAUUGUAAAGCUCUGUUAAUCGGGACGAAAGAGCCUAGUGUGAAUAAUGCUAGGAAGUGACGGUACCGGAAUAGAAAGCCACGGCUAACUACGUGCCAGCAGCCGCGGUAAUACGUAGGUGGCAAGCGUUGUCCGGAAUUAUUGGGCGUAAAGCGCGCGCAGGCGGAUCUGCCAGUCCAUCUUAAAAGUUCGGGGCUUAACCCCGUGAUGGGAUGGAAACUACAGAUCUAGAGUAUCGGAGAGGAAAGUGGAAUUCCUAGUGUAGCGGUGAAAUGCGUAGAUAUUAGGAAGAACACCAGUGGCGAGGCGACUUUCUGGACGAAAACUGACGCUGAGGCGCGAAAGCCAGGGGAGCGAACGGGAUUAGAUACCCCAGUAGUCC
rnacentral:rRNA from 1 species